rnacentral:rRNA from 1 species
GAUGAACGCUGGCGGCGUGCCUAAUACAUGCAAGUCGAGCGAACAGACGAGGAGCUUGCUCCUUUGACGUUAGCGGCGGACGGGUGAGUAAGACGUGGGUAACCUACCUAUAAGACUGGGGUAACUUCGGGAAACCGGAGCUAAUACCGGCUAAUAUUUCGAACCGCUUGGUUCGAUAGUGAAAGAUGGCUUUGCUAUCACUUUUAGAUGGUCUUGCGCCGUAUUAGUUAGUUGGUAAGGUAACGGCUUACCAAGGCAACGAUACGUAGCCGACCUGAGAGGGUGAUCGGCCAAACUGGAACUGAGACACGGUCCAGACUCCUACGGGAGGCAGCAGUAGGGAAUCUUCCGCAAUGGGCGAAAGCCUGACGGAGCAACGCCGCGUGAGUGAUGAAGGUCUUCGGAUCGUAAAACUCUGUUAUUAGGGAAGAACAAACGUGUAAGUAACUGUGCACGUCUUGACGGUACCUAAUCAGAAAGCCACGGCUAACUACGUG